UACGGGGGGGGCAAGCGUUGUUCGGAAUUACUGGGCGUAAAGCGUGCGCAGGCGGCUUCUCAAGUCAGGGGUGAAAGCCCAGAGCUCAACUCUGGAAUUGCCUUUGAGACUGAGUGGCUUGAGUACGAGAGAGGUGAGUGGAAUUCCCAGUGUAGAGGUGAAAUUCGUAGAUAUUGGGAAGAACACCGAUGGCGAAGGCAGCCUCCUGGGCCAGCACUGACGCUCAUGCACGAAAGCGUGGGGAGCAAACAGG
rnacentral:rRNA from 1 species